rfam:Schistosoma margrebowiei strain Zambia genome assembly, scaffold: SMRZ_contig0000576
GUUCAGCUGACGAGUCCCAAAAUAGAACGAAAUGCACUUCCUGGAU